UACGAGGGGGGCAAGCGUUGUUCGGAAUUAUUGGGCGUAAAGGGCGCGCAGGCGGCCACGCACGUCCGUUGUGAAAUCGCCCGGCUCAACUGGGCGGGGUCAGCGGAUACGGCGCGGCUGGAGCAAGCUAGGGGGCAAUGGAAUUCCCGGUGUAGUGGUGGAAUGCGUAGAUAUCGGGAGGAACACCAGUGGCGAAGGCGGUUGCCUGGAGCUUUG
rnacentral:rRNA from 1 species